CCUACGGGUGGCAGCAGUGGGGAAUAUUGGACAAUGGGCGAAAGCCUGAUCCAGCCAUGCCGCGUGUGUGAAGAAGGCCUUCGGGUUGUAAAGCACUUUCAGUGGGGAAGAAAGCCUUGGGGCUAAUACCCUCGAGGAAGGACAUCACCCACAGAAGAAGCACCGGCUAACUCCGUGCCAGCAGCCGCGGUAAUACGGAGGGUGCGAGCGUUAAUCCGAAUUACUGGGCGUAAAGCGCGCGUAGGCGGUCUGAUAAGCCGGUUGUGAAAGCCCCGGGCUCAACCUGGGAACGGCAUCCGGAACUGUCAGGCUAGAGUGCAGGAGAGGAAGGUAGAAUUCCCGGUGUAGCGGUGAAAUGCGUAGAGAUCGGGAGGAAUACCAGUGGCGAAGGCGGCCUUCUGGACUGACACUGACGCUGAGGUGCGAAAGCGUGGGUAGCAAACAGGAUUAGAUACCCCUGUAGUC
rnacentral:rRNA from 1 species